CCUAACAUAAUGUAAACAUACACACAUAGUCACAUAUAGAAGGGGAAAAGAGAGAAGGGGAAACAGAGAAGGGGGAAACGAGAGAAGAGUGCGAGCUCGAAAAAGAGGGGAUCAGAGAACAGGAAGGAGAGGAGAGGGAAAAACGAGAGUGAGUGAGAGACACGCAUAGAACGCGCGACACGAGGAAGAGAAGGAUCUCGUCUUCAUUGCCACCGCUACCGUUGUUGGAAGUCGCCAUUGUCGCUGGAAGGAACCAAACAAGGAGAGGAGAUCGAUGUUGAUGCUGCCGCAGAGAGGAAGGAAGGGACGCGUGUGAGAAAGUGACGCAACAGAGGAGGAGCUGUUCUUCUGCCGCUGCCGUCGGAACUCCUGGUUGCCGCCGUCAUUCAUGUUGAGAAUGGAAUUACAUAUACUC